rnacentral:other from 1 species
GUUGUGAUUUGCUUUCAUUUUAGUAUCUUUGAACCAUUGGAAACAG